rnacentral:rRNA from 1 species
AAUCAACGCUGGCGGCGUGCCUAACACAUGCAAGUCGAGCGAGAAAGGGGCUUCGGCCCUGAGUAAAGCGGCGCACGGGUGAGUAACACGUGGGUAAUCUGCCCUAGAGUGGGGAAUAACAUCGGGAAACCGAUGCUAAUACCGCAUACGAUCACGAGGUCUUCGGAUUUUGUGAUGAAAGGAGAAAUCCGCUCUUGGAGGAGCCCGCGGCUGAUUAGCUAGUUGGAAGGUAACGGCUUACCAAGGCAACGAUCAGUAUCCGGUCUGAGAGGACGGUCGGACACACUGGAACUGAGACACGGUCCAGACUCCUACGGGAGGCAGCAGUGGGGAAUUCUUCGCAAUGGGGGAAA